rnacentral:rRNA from 1 species
AACGAACGCUGGCGGCAGGCUUAACACAUGCAAGUUGAACGCCCCGCAAGGGGAGUGGCAGACAGGUGAAUAACGCGUGGGAACAUACCCUUUCCUGCGGAAUAGCUCUGGGAAACUGGAAUUAAUACCGCAUACGCCCUACGGGGGAAAGAUUUAUCGGGGAAGGAUUGGCCCGCGUUGGAUUAGCUAGUUGGUGGGGUAAAGGCCUACCAAGGCGACGAUCCAUAGCUGGUCUGAGAGGAUGAUCAGCCACAUUGGGACUGAUACACGGCCCAAACUCCUACGGGAGGCAGCAGUGGGGAAUAUUGGACAAUGGGCGCAAGCCUGAUCCAGCCAUGUCGCGUGAGUGAUGAAGGCCUGAGGGUUGUAAAGCUCUUUCACCGAUGAAGAUAAUGACGGUAGUCGGAGAAGAAGCCCCGGCUAACUUCGUGCCAGCCGCCGCCGUAAGAC